rnacentral:rRNA from 1 species
UACGGAGGGUGCGAGCGUUGUCCGGAAUCACUGGGCGUAAAGGGUGCGUAGGCGGUCGGGUAAGUCUGAUGUGAAAUCUCACAGCUUAACUGUGAAACUGCAUUGGAUACCAUCCGGCUCGAGGAAUGGAGGGGAGACUGGAAUACUUGGUGUAGCAGUGAAAUGCGUAGAUAUCAAGUGGAACACCAGUGGCGAAGGCGAGUCUCUGGACAUUUCCUGACGCUGAGGCACGAAAGCCAGGGGAGCAAACGGG